rnacentral:rRNA from 1 species
AUUAUGGAGAGUUUGAUCCUGGCUCAGGACGAACGCUGGCGGCGUGCCUAAUACAUGCAAGUCGAGCGAAUGAUG